rnacentral:rRNA from 1 species
GAUGAACGCUAGCGGCAGGCUUAACACAUGCAAGUCGAGGGGCAGCGGUAUGUAGCAAUACAUAGCCGGCGACCGGCGCACGGGUGAGUAACACGUAUGCAACCUGCCCGUCACAGGGGUAUAAUCGAUGGAAACGUCGUCUAAUCCCCCAUAUAAUCAUUUUGCCGCAUGGUUGAAUGAUGAAAGCUGAUUGUGGUGACGGAUGGGCAUGCGGUGCAUUAGCUAGUAGGCGGGGUAACGGCCCACCUAGGCUACGAUGCAUAGGGGUUCUGAGAGGAAGGUCCCCCACACUGGUACUGAGACACGGACCAGACUCCUACGGGAGGCAGCAGUGAGGAAUAUUGGUCAAUGGUCGAGAGACUGAACCAGCCAAGUCGCGUGAAGGAAGACGGUUCUAUGGAUUGUAAACUUCUUUAGUCGGGGAGCAAAAAGAGUGACGAGUCACUAAUUGAGCGUACCCGAAGAAUAAGCAUCGGCUAACUCCG